rnacentral:lncRNA from 1 species
GGGACAAAGGGGGCCAGAUGGUGCAGGGUUGGGAGAUCUCACAAGGACUUUGCUUUAACUUUGAGACUGAAGCCAGGGGAGGACCCUGAGCGGAGGAAGGACGGGAUCUAACUUAGAACGGUUUCCCUCUGCCUGCCAAGUUGGAGUAAAUUAAUAUCUGAGUUCCCACAAGGCUAGAACCCUGUCUCUGUUCUCUCCUCUCCCUGGCUUCCAGAAUAGAGGUCGGCAAACAACCACCCCCAGGCUGAAUCCUCCCACUUCCUGUUUGUAUCAAUAAAGUUUUAUUGAAACAGACCCACACCCAUUCCUUUACAAUUAUCCGUGGCAGCUCUCUGAUGCAAGACCGCGGUAGAGUAGAAAUAGCAGAGACCGCCUGGGUCUCAAAGCUGAAGAUAUUUACUGUUGGGCCUUUGACAGAAGACGUCUGCUGACCCCUGAUCAGGCACCAGACCUGCCAUGCUGUAGGCACUCAGUAAAUGUUUGUCGUUAUAUCUCCAAACCCGUGGCUCAUCUGUGACCCUCACGAGGCUGCCAGCCUGUUUUUGUCUCGAAGCCAGUUCCAGCUUCGAGUCACAUGCAGAAACACAACUGCCCAGUGACCAAAAAUAAAAUACUGGAACCAUUCGCAUUUUUCCCCUGGAAGCAUUGACCAGGCAGGAAUACAGUCAGGACCCAGAGAGAAACUUAGCAUGUUUUUCAUCCGUUUCUUUUUCUCUAUGAAGACUUGGGGGCCCCUUAACCCCUGUCAGGCAUGGAAGUGCUCCUCCAUUUUUUUCUCAUUAAAAAAAAAUCCCGCAGGGGUUCUCUGGUGGCCUGAGUGGCUUUAUCACUGCUGUGGCAUGGGUUCGAACCCUGGCUUCAGGCAAAGCCAAAAAAAAAAAAAAUCCCCCAAACCCUCUUCCAUAAAACGGCCCCCUCCCUGGCUCUACUGUCUUCUCCAUUCUUAGCUCCAGCAUUUUAUUUUUGUACAUGAACUUCGCUCCUUGCUGGCUUUUUUCCCUACACUUGUGCUGCCUGCCCAUUACUCAGAUUCUGCAUAGCAAGGGAGCCGUAAGUUAAGAAUAAUGGGGCUGUGCCGGCUGGCAGGAAUCCCUCUGGGAACUGAAAGGCUCCCACAUCCUGAUUUCCUUUUCUCCCCAAGCACAUCCAUCCCAGUUUCCCAUCCAUCCCCAUUUCCCGAGUUCCCUCUCUACUGCAGUUUAUCCUGUAUCCUCAGGACCCACAGAGGGAUCAGAUCCUGUCCCUGACAGCCAGGGACUCCCAGAUUAUUAAUAGAGGUAAUCCCAGUGCCUGGAGUAAAGGGAUGGAUGCGUGGUAGGGAUGAGUUUCAAUCUUUAUCCUGAGGACCCUCUCUGGCAGGCCUGGAUGGAGGCCAGCGGGAGGGCUCUGAGACAGCAGAGUGCUUCCUUCUGACCUGGUUUCCUGGGUCUCAGAAGCCACAACCCAAGCUCUGGGGCCAGACUUCUUGAAUUCAAAUCCAGGCUCUCGUGCUUUCUAGCUGUGCAACCUUGGGCAGCCUUCCCUCAAUGUCCUCAUCUGUAAAAUGGGUAUGACACUAGCACCUACUAUGUAAAGUUAUUGGGAGGAUUAUGGAAUUUAAUACAUAUAAAGAGCUUAGAACUGUGCCUGGCACACAGAACUUCUACAUGCCCUGGGAGGAGCCAGGGGGAAAAAAAAAAGAAAGAAAAGAAAAGAAAAAUCUCAAUAUUAUCAUUUCAUGAUGUCAUCAAGUACCCUAUAAAUUGAGCAGAAUGAAUGACACCUCCAGUGUAAACCCUCCAUGGGAAUGAUGACAUCAUUAGUUGCCAAGUAGAUUUAAUCCCAGAGGGUAUUGAUGACAGCACCAGUUACCAGGCAGAAAAUGUGCAUGUCAGAGUCUUGAUUCCUGUUUGACUGUCUGUGUGUCCCAGUCUUCCUUGGGGCACAUGGGAUUUUCAUGUAGCCGAGCUUCAGUUUUCUAUCAGUCAAAUGGGGAUAAUAAAGUUAUCCAUCUCAUAGGAUUGUCGAGAGCAUCCAAAGAGUUCACACGUAAAAAGGCACAAUGUCCAGCACACAGUCAGCACUCAAUAAACAGCUCCUGCUAUCCUCAGGCAGGAAGCUUCCAUGGUGAACACUCUGGCCAGAGUAACAGGUACUCUCCUCUCUUCAUUAAGGGCACAGAUACAGGAGCCUGACCUGUUGCUGUCUGAGCCCAGAUCUGCCAUCAAAAUCAGCCAGGGGACCCCAGGCACAUUGCGGGCCUGUAAAGUGGGGUGAUGACAGUGCCAAUUCAUAGGACAGGCAUGAGGAUGCAUUCAAAUGAUGAUGGGCAAGUCCUAGCCCAGAGUCAGGCUGCAUACAUAUGGGCCGUAUUAUCACUGAGGAUGCUCUAGGCAAGGUCCUCCACUCCUUGGAACUCAGUUUCCCCGUCUGCCAAGAGACAGGCAGCGGCCGUGGCAAUCUCAAUGCUUCUUGCCUGUAAGGACUUACCUUUGCCAUUGCUGAGCAAAUGCCUUGGGAUUCGGAUGCUCUCACCUGUGUCUGCCCUCAGCCAAGUCCAGAUCUCUCCUUCUCUCUCUUUAUUUCCAUCUCUUGCCCCUUUUUGCUUUUCUAGACUUCUCUCUCUCUCUUGUUUCUCUCCUACGUGCUAUUGGAAGGCUAUUUGUAGAACAAGAAAUAGCAACAGUGAUCAGAAGCAUAAUUUGUUUAUUCAGUUCUUUCCUGAUGCCAGGACCGCUCUAAGCUCUUAGCAUGUAUUAACUCAUUUAAUUCACAUGAUGCAAGGACUUGUUACUACUGAUUCAACAAAUACUUAUUGAGCGCCUACUAUGUGCCAGGCCCUGAGGAUCCAGCUCGGAGCAAAACAAAGACCCUCGCCCUCGUGGGACUUACAUUCUAGUGGAGAGACAGAAGAUAAACAG